AAUCCUCAAGGCCCUACCGGUUUUUUGCCGGCUUGGGUUCCUUGGAUGUGGGAGUGCUGCGGGGCCUGCCUCUUUGGCUCCGCUCUCCUGAAAUGCAUCAGUAGGGCCUCGUCCUCUCGGGUCUUCGCGGCGUUGAUAAUUGUCUACGCCUCGCCCGUCGGGCUUCACCUGCUUCCCAACCCUUCAUCAGAACA
rnacentral:misc_RNA from 1 species